CACUUACUCCCUCCGUCCGGAAUUACUUGUAACCAAAAUGGAAAGAACUGAAUGUAUCUAGAACUAAAAUAUAUCUAGUUACAUCCAUUCCCAUGACAAGUAAUUCUGGACGGAGGGAGUAUUUU
rfam:Hordeum vulgare subsp. vulgare, WGS project CAJW01000000 data, contig: morex_contig_49221